UAUAUAUGUGUGUGGAUUCUUGUAGAGCUGUUUUAUCAUAUAAUUCUUCUGGGUUUUCUACAUUCAUUCUAGUCCAAAAUAAUAGUUUCUUUAAAAAAAAUUCUGAAGACAUUCAUUCUUCCAGUAAUGUUACUGCAAGCCUACUAGAAUAGCUAGCGUUAGCAAGGUCUGUAUCAUAAUGUAAUUCUAAUUUAUUUAAAUCUUUUUUUUUUGCUGUGUGUAUUGCUUAAAAUCUUAAGUCAACGUGUGUCUAAAUAAAAAGAAAUAAUCAAUAAUCAACUAAAAGCACCAAAACGAAAAGGUUAAUCCAGUUUAAAUGUCCGUUUCCUCUGUACACUGGUAUUUUUAAAAACAUCUAGCUAAUUACCUGAAGGGGGCUGUGGAUUCUCUGAACAUGUUAUUAAGCUAAACCCCUCUCAAACACUCCAACAGGUGGCGCUGUUUACCGUGAAAUGUUCCCUCCUAUAUCCCCGUCUACCGUCAUUCACAUGCAGCUCGCUUUAUGUGCUGAAAACUGGAAAUGACAGCCGGACCUCAGCAUUAAAUCCUUCCUAUUUGAUGCGGUUUUUCUCUCCUAUUUUUGGAGCUGUUUGUUUAACCCUGCAGUUUUUCUCUGGGUGAGAACCGGAGCUCUCGCUCAGCUCUCCGCGCGCCGCUCCUGUUCUGCGCUUUGAGCCUCUUUACAAUGCUGCCUUGUGGGAUCAGAAUCAAGCAGCAUUGUACAGGGCUAUGACAGCACAGAAACACACUCUUCAGACAAGGAGCCCUGCGUUUCUGGGACACGGCGGACUGCCAGGCCAUGACAGCAUCUGUACACACACAUCAGCGUCUGAGUGAGCGAGCCUGAAAUGGACAUACUGUACAGCGCUGAGGACAGGAGGCUGUCGUGGAAAUGACAGAUAAUUUGACCUCUUGUUCAUUGCUGACACAUUGCUGCUCGUGUUAAAGCUUGGCCUUGUUUCCAUUGUGUGUUUCUAGAGCUGCAAAGCAAGGAUGCCUUCAGAUUGUAAGUAUUUGGACAGUGACAUUUACAGAUUUUGACUGUGGGCUCUUGCUCAAUAAAUUGUAUUUGUUCUACUGUAUGUAAAGAUAAUAGAAAUUAUUUUACAUUUUAUACACAGGUAGAAUUUUAUCCACAGGUAUUUGUUGGGGGAAGGGUUUUGCAGCUCUUCCUGAACUGCAUUCUCGUAAGUGAUGGAGCUCUAUUUAGUACCUCUGGAUGGUGCAUUCAACAUGAUCAUCAGUAACUCAUUUACCCUACUAAGGCUCUUGUCACUAUAUGUGAUUAAAUCCUACUGUUUAUCCUACAACAUCUAGUGAAAACCCUUGAAGGAAAGAAGAUGCUUCUGCAACCCAUUUUUUAAUAACCUUGACUUUGAACAAAUCAUUGGAUGAGCAGAUGUCGAAACAUUUUUGGAGACUGUCAUGGAAAUAACAGAUCAUUUGACCUCUUGUUCAUUGCUGACACAUUGCUGCUUGUGUUAAAGCUUGGCAUUAUUUCCAUUGUGUGUUUCUAGUGCUGCAAAAAAGGAUGACUUUAAACUAUAAGUAUUUGGGCAGUGACAGUUUUUGGUUCUAGGCUCUUGCACAUUGGAUUUGAUUUGAAAUUCUUAAAUUUUGAGGAUGUUUUCAUUGCUCUACUGUAUGGAAACAUUAUAGAAAUAACAGUAAAUUUUAUACACAGGUAGAAUUUUUGUCCACAGAUAUUUGUUGGGGGAAUGGGUAUGCAGCCCUUCCUAAACUGCAUUAUCUAAUAUCUCUGAAUGGAACAACUGAUCAACAUGAUCAUCAGUACCUAAUGUAUCCCACUAAGGCUUGCGUCAAUAUAUGUGAUUAAAUUGUACUUUUACAACAGGUAUUAUGUCUUGAAGAAGAGAAGAUGCAUCUGCAACCUUUUUUUAAUACCCUUGACUUUGGGCAAACCAUUGGAUCAGCAGGUGUCUACACAUUGUUACCUACUACAGUAUAGCCCACCCAUUACAAAGGGGGCUACACUAACUGGCAAAUUAAUAUGAUUGUAAUUAGAAUUUUUAAAUGCCAACCAUUUAUUUAUAAUCACAACUUCUGCACCCAGAUGUCUGGUGAUGUCUAUUGUCUUCAACAGUUUUUGGCCUGUGGGUUUUAUCUUUAGUAAAUACGAUCAGUGCUGACUGGGAUUCAGGUCAGAUAAAUGACUUUUAAUCUAUGGUCUUGAUUAACUCCAGCCUUUUAUGUUUCAUCAGGUUUCAUCAAUUCAUUCUAGAAGUACAAGGUUUAAAGGUUGAUUCUGUAUCUGUACUAGUGAGAAUUUAUCGUGUGUUUGGAAAAAUCAAGCAAAAUGAAUGUUAUGAUUCCAUUAACAGCUAUACAUUUUAGGAACAACCAUUAAUAGCAGGUGAUGGCACGAUCAUACUCAAAUCUUUCUUUAUUCUGUCUUUGGGUGAACAGUAUGUUCCUCAACUCUUCUUCAGGACUUAGAUUUUGCUUUACCUUCUCUUUCCUUUGUGUUAGCCACUAAAGCAUAUCUGCAAUUCUAGCAAGAGUCAAAAUUGAUCAUCUGUCCACCAGGUUGCUUGGUAAUGGUGAACUCAGUGUGUGUAGUGUGAUCUGACCAAGCAGAAUGCUAUGGACUUCUUGGUUAGAAAACAACUGAACUGCCACCACAUUGCCAUCUUGUGUUUCGGUUUUACAACAGUAAUCUGUGGAAUAACUUGUGAUGUGAUAUUAAAUGACUGAAAAAUGACAUGUAAUUUCAGAUAUUCUGUCAAACCAAAUAAAGCUGAAAAAGAAUGACAUA